rnacentral:misc_RNA from 1 species
UUUCCGUAGGUGAACCUGCGGAAGGAUCAUUGUCGUUGCCUCUCGAAAAACACGACCGUUGCACAAGUGACAGAAUGCUGCCGGAGAGGUGCUUGCUGCCUCCUCGGCCCCACCGGCCUCGUCCCUCUAGCCUUUUGGGCGAGUUGGAUGCUGGUCGGAAUACGGCGCGGGAUGACGCCAAGGAACACGAUAGAAGCUGAGGCACCGGCUGGCCGCUAAAGGGCUGGCGUCGGGUGCCAAGGCCAACGAAAAAAAUAUGACUCUCGGCAACGGAUAUCUCGGCUCUC